rnacentral:rRNA from 1 species
AUCCGAGAAGUCGGCUCCCGCAAGGGCAGUUGUCGAGGUGCUGCAUGGCUGUCGUCAGCUCGUGUCGUGAGAUGUUGGGUUAAGUCCCGCAACGAGCGCAACCCUUGUCCGCUGUUGCCAUCAGGUUACGCUGGGCACUCUGCGGAGACUGCCGGUGAUAAACCGGAGGAAGGUGGGGAUGACGUCAAGUCAGCAUGGCCUUUAUGUCUGGGGCUACACACGUGCUACAAUGGCCGAUACAAACCGUCGCGAUACCGCAAGGUGGAGCUAAUCGGAGAAAAUCGGUCUCAGUUCGGAUUGCAGGCUGCAACUCGCCUGCAUGAAGUUGGAAUCGCUAGUAAUCGCGGAUCAGCACGCCGCGGUGAAUACGUUCCCGGGCCUUGUACACACCGCCCGUCACAUCACGAAAGCUGGCUGUACUAGAAGUCGCCGCGCUAACCCGCAAGGGAGGCAAGCGCCUAAGGUAUGGUUAGUGAUUGGGGUGAAGUCGUAACAAGGUAACCGU